GGUUUUUCUCUCUUCUUUAGGAAGACUAUGAUCGUCUGAGGCCUUUAUCUUACCCAAUGACUGAUGUCUUCCUUAUAUGCUUCUCUGUGGUAAAUCCAGCCUCAUUUCAAAAUGUGAAAGAGGAGUGGGUACCGGAACUUAAGGAGUAUGCACCAAAUGUACCCUUCUUAUUAAUAGGAACUCAGAUUGAUCUCCGAGAUGACCCCAAAACUUUAGCAAGACUGAAUGACAUGAAAGAAAAACCCAUUUGUGUGGAACAAGGACAGAAACUAGCAAAAGAGAUAGGAGCAUGCUGCUAUGUGGAAUGUUCGGCUUUAACCCAGAAGGGAUUGAAGACUGUUUUUGAUGAGGCUAUCAUAGCCAUUUUAACUCCAAAGAAACACACAGUAAAAAAAAGAAUAGGAUCAAGAUGUAUAAACUGUUGUUUGAUUACGUGAGAAACAUCUUCAGUGGCCAAGGAAACUGUCCAUUUCUCUUAGAAAGCAUAUGAAAUGCUACAACUAUACCCAGACCUCUUAUAAAUAAUGAAGCAGUUUAAAACUUGAAAGAAAAAAAAAAAAAACCUUAAGAAUGUUUCUUAAAGGUCCAAGAAGCAGCAAACAGCAUCUGAAGCCACAAUCUAUUAUAAAUACUUUAUUUCAACUAGAAGGUACAAUCUCUCAGGGGUUUCAUAGUUUAAAAAGCUACAAUCACACCAUGUUGUAACUACAUAAAAAAACAGUGCUGUAAAUGGAACUGCCUGGCUUAGACCAUAAACAUUUCUGCACAGUCUUUAUGGAAUCUGCACAAAGAAAUAUCUUCUCCCUUUGCUCCAACUAAUUGUUCUUAUAUGUAAGUUGCUUUCUAUUCCAGUAUAUCCAGAGUGGUGAAAUCACAAGGCCAGCCACGUAGCCAAAGGUCGCUCCAAGCGUACAGGAGAUGGGCCAUACCUGAGGAGAGAAUGUAUGAGAUCAAAAAAAGAAUAACUGUUUUAUUAUAACUUGAGCACAAGUGUAACCUAAAUAUUUCUAUAUUAAAGCUUAAUGUGCUUUCUUAAAGAAUGCCAAAAGUGUAAUAAGGUCAUAACUGCAUUUAUCAUGAACACUAAAAAUGUACACAUUCUAGUUAAUGUACAUUUGACUGUAACAAGGCUUCUGGCGACUGUAGACUUAGUUUGAUGCUCCCCAAACUGCAUGAGAUACAUCCUAAAAUUACAAAUUAAAAUUCUGGGUCAGACUUUGUCAUAAUCCUGGACUUGAUAUAGCUGUCUGAAGUAGUUGGCAAUUGUGUCUUUUAAUUUCCACCUUGGCUUAUGUAAUCAGAUGACAUGAGAUGUGUGUAUGCUGACCAAACUACAAGAAACUUUAAAUAGUGCUAAAGAAAAAAGACCUAGAAUUUGAGCAUGUUAUAUGGAAUUUGUAACAAAGCAACUGCUUCCGUAAUAAUACUGAUGUUACCUUUCAGACACAGGUAUUGGAACCAUAGCAGAAGUUCUAGAACUACAACUUAACGUACACACCUAAAAGUGUCAGUUAAAUGCAAUACUGGCUUCUAAAUACCCAUUUUGUCCAGCCAUAUUACAUUUUGCAAUAUUAGAUCAAGCAAGCCAGAAAUAAAUAAUGUUGAUUUCUUUCAUCCACAAGCAGUGCGGGCUAGUCCCUAGGUGAAAGGUCCUGCUUU